rnacentral:rRNA from 1 species
CAGUCGCCGCGGGAAUACGGAGGGUGCAAGCGUUAAUCGGAAUUACUGGGCGUAAAGCGUGCGCAGGCGGUUUUGUAAGUCUGUCGUGAAAUCCCCGGGCUCAACCUGGGAAUGGCGAUGGAGACUGCAAGGCUAGAAUCUGGCAGAGGGGGGUAGAAUUCCACGUGUAGCAGUGAAAUGCGUAGAUAUGUGGAGGAGCACCGAUGGCGAAGGCAGCCCCCUGGGCUAAGAUUGACGCUCAUGCACGAAAGCGUGGGGAGCAAACAGGAUUAGAUACCCCGGUAGUCCCUGUCUCUUAUAC